CACCCUUUUUUCCAUCAAAUAUCUUUCUAUCAAUAAAAAAAACUAUUAAUUGUAACAUUUUCUAUACAAUUUUAAAACCUCGAGUAAUUGAGUCUUGAUGUCUCUGUGGAUCUUACAUGGUAUGUCAUUCAGCCACUGUGUUUGACAUAGAACUCCACAGUUUAAUAGAUUUUUAAAUGUUAAUGCUUAGAUUGUAACAGCACAAUGGUGCCAGCUAGUCUGUCCAAACAGUAUGGACCUAUCAAACUGACUAAAUGCUCCUCUCAGGGGAGUCCAUAACAUUCCACAAGUUGGAAACUUCAAGUCUUAAUCUUCUUUAUAUCCAGAGGUCAGUGAAUCCCCCUCUAUGGCAAGUUACUUAAUUGCUUAUUGUUUUAUGUCUAGUUAUUUCUUUGUUUUGUUGACAUUCUACUUUUCAGUUGUAUACAAAGAAAUAAAACUCUAUGAAGACAUUGGUCUUGACUAUUUAGCCUGAAUGUUAUACUGUCUAGUGAUGAAUUGUAUAUAGUAGAAGUGUAGAGUCCAGAAGUUCAAUUGUCUGCUCAUGUGAAGGGAAAAUGUUUUAUUAAGUUCAUGUGUGUGUUUGUAGGUUGUUAGGUUGAUGUUCUUUCAGACAAUGUCUUAUAAACUCAAUCAUAUUUUAUUAGACCAUUAGAGACUGUUAUUGAGUUUUAUAUUGUGAAGCACUUUUGUCAAUUUGUAAUUUCUUUUUGUUCCUGUAGAACUGACUCAUGCUGAAGAGACGAGUUUCUCUGGUUUUUACUGCAAUCUUGUGUCACUUAAUUUAUGCAAUGAUCUUUUUUAUUCUCUUGUGGGUUUUUUGUUUUUUUUUGUUAAUGAAAUGAGUCAAACAUUUGACCUAUUUCCUGGACUACUAGUGCAUGUCUAAGGAAGUAGUGUGUGUAUGUGUGAAGAUUUUUAUUUCUGCCUCUGUUUCUUGUGUAUUACAUGAAAACUUGGAGACAGUGAACUACAGGAAACAAAAAUUUUAAUAUCUAUGCAACAUCUGAAAUUUUACAUUUGUUUAAAGUAGAACUCAUUCUGUCAUAGCCAACCUUAGAAAUACAUUAGAUUAUACAUUACACUAUACAUACUGAUUAUUAGGGAAGUCCUAGAAACUCAGCACUGGAAAGUACUGUUGUUGUUUUUUUCAUACUGUUCCCAUUAGGCUGAGGACAUUGGUAUGCUAGGAUUAAGUCAAUGUUCUGGUAGUAAAAAUCAACAUUUAUAAUCCAACCUGGUCAUUACUUUUAAUAUUUUUGUAUACUUGUUAAUGUUUACUUUUUAACAAGGAAGCUACUUCAUUUUUGUUGAACAUUCAUUUUGUUUUGGUGAGUAACUUUUAGAAAUAGAAAACAAAAAGAUUCUAUUGCAUUUUAAAUGUACAUUUUGUUCACUAGAUUUGACUAGAUAUUGAGAACUAGAGGGGAGACAAUCCAAGUUCUAUCAUAAUACAAAAGAGUCCAUGUGGUAGAGACACAGAUGUAUACAAUAGUCUUUUCAAUUAUACAAAUGGAUAGUUUACUGAAUGGCUUCAAUGACAUUUAGACCUUCGUUACUGCUUAAUGGCAUUUUGAACUAACUCAAUCUUCUGGACACUGUUUUGGCUUCUAUCCCCCCCCCCC